ACUCUCGGUAAAUGAAUGAGGAGAGCCCCAUGUGGGAUUACAAACUUGCUGGAAAUGGAUGAGAAACCUUCUGCUCUGCUGGAGUUUAUCUUGAGUGUGCCUUAAAAUUCCAUUUCAUGGAGAACUGUGCGUGGUUGAAUUUUGAUUGAUUACUCAAUUAACUGAUGUAUUGGUAGAGUGAUUAAGAAAGAAGACUUUGGGAUCAGACCAACCUGGUUUUGAAUUCAAGCUCAGCAACUUACUAGGUAAGGAGGAGAAAAGAAAGAAGGAAAAAUUGGAAAGAUAAAUGGGGUCUUUCCAGUGAAGCUGCAGUUAUGGCAUUAACCACCCAGUUGUUACCUACUUCUAGAUGAAAGUAAG
rnacentral:lncRNA from 1 species